AUAAUCACAAAUUUGUCACUCAAUUUGAAAUUAAUUUGAAAUUGAGAACUCCUUUUUAAUAUAGUAUAAUAUGCAUGCGAGUUUUUCAUCAGGUUUGGGCAAGGAUUAUAUUAUUACAUGGGUAUUUCAAUAGUGUUUUUGUAGUAUGGAGAGGUGGCAAAUACACAGAAACUAUAUACUAUUUUUUUAAAAAAAACGAGAAACUAUAUACUACUUUAAUUUAAGGAUAUCCACCAUGGGUCACAAAGAAAUAUACAUAGACAUCCUAUAAAAUUAAAUAGCAGAGGUAGUUACAUUUAAUAAUUCAUAGUAUAGCAUUUAACAUGAUGAUCGUGAAUUGAUGAAUCUACUAAACAGUGGAAGCAAAGUCUAAAGAAUGAAGUCAUAUAUAGCUAAUUCCACCAAAAUCCAAAUCCCCACAUUAAUUAAUUUUACCAACUCUUGUAAAAAGAAGGAAACAAAUGGAAUAAGAAUACAUUAAAAAAAAAAAUCACUUACCAGGAAGAUGGCUGCCCCGCGUCCGGCGACUGGACGAAUGGAGGGGGUAGCUAAUUCCUGAUCGGCAACUGGUGACUUGAACGGACGGAGGGACGACUGGAACCGACAGAAAUCAAAUGAACACAUAUCAAAAUCAAAGAGAAAAGCUA
rnacentral:lncRNA from 1 species